rnacentral:rRNA from 1 species
GACGAACGCUGGCGGCGUGCCUAAUACAUGCAAGUUGAGCGCUGAAGGUUGGUACUUGUACCAACUGGAUGAGCAGCGAACGGGUGAGUAACGCGUGGGGAAUCUGCCUUUGAGCGGGGGACAACAUUUGGAAACGAAUGCCAAUACGGCAUAAAAACUUUAAACACAAGUUUUAAGUUUGAAAGAUGCAAUUGCAUCACUCAAAGAUGAUCCCGCGUUGUAUUAGCUAGUUGGUGAGGUAAAGGCUCAUCAAGGCGAUGAUACAUAGCCGACCUGAGAGGGUGAUCGGCCACAUUGGGACUGAGACACGGCCCAAACUCCUACGGGAGGCAGCAGUAGGGAAUCUUCGGCAAUGGACGAAAGUCUGACCGAGCAACGCCGCGUGAGUGAAGAAGGUUUUCGGAUCGUAAAACUCGGUUGGUAGAGAAGAACGUUGGUGAGAGUGGAAAGCUCAUCAAGUGACGGUAACUACCCAGAAAGGGACGGCUAACUACGUG